rnacentral:rRNA from 1 species
GCGGUCUCAGGCCGUCCGAGUUGUAGUCUAGAGAGGCGUCUUCCGUGCCGGACCGUGUACAAGUCCCUUGGGAUAGGGCGUCAUAGAGGGUGAGAAUCCCGUCCAUGACACGGACUGCCGGUGCUCUGUGAUGCGCCUUCAAAGAGUCGAGUUGUUUGGGAAUGCAGCUCAAAAUGGGUGGUAAAUUCCAUCUAAAGCUAAAUACAGGCGAGAGACCGAUAGCGAACAAGUACCGUGAGGGAAAGAUGAAAAGCACUUUGGAAAGAGAGUUAAACAGUACGUGAAAUUGUUGAAAGGGAAACGCUUGGAGUCAGUCGCGUCCGUCGAGACUCAGCCGGGCUUCUGCCCGGCGCACUUCUCGGUGGAUGGGCCAGCAUCGAUUUCGGCUGCCGGAAAAGGGCGAGGGGAAGGUGGCACCUCCGGGUGUGUUAUAGCCCCUCGUCGUAUACGGUGGCUGGGAUCGAGGUUCGCAGCACGCCUUUAUGGUCGGGGUUCGCCCACGCCACGUGCUUAGGAUGCUGGCGUAAUGGCUUUAAACGACCCGUCUUGAAACACGGACCAAGGAGUCUAACAUGCCUGCGAGUGUUUGGGUGGAAAACCCAGGCGCGGAAUGAAAGUGAAAGGUUGGGACUCCCCUAAACAAGGAGGCACCGACGCCCGAUCCUGACCUUCUGUGACGGAUUUGAGGCAGAGCAUGUAUGUUGGGACCCGAAAGAUGGUGAACUAUGCCUGAAUAGGGCGAAGCCAGAGGAAACUCUGGUGGAGGCUCGUA